AGUGAACGCUGGCGGUAGGCCUAACACAUGCAAGUCGAACGGCAGCACAGUAAGAGCUUGCUCUUACGGGUGGCGAGUGGCGGACGGGUGAGGAAUACAUCGGAAUCUACUUUUUCGUGGGGGAUAACGUAGGUAAACUUACGCUAAUACCGCAUACGACCUACGGGUGAAAGCAGGGGAUCUUCGGACCUUGCGCGAUUGAAUGAGCCGAUGUCGGAUUAGCUAGUUGGCGGGGUAAAGGCCCACCAAGGCGGCGAUCCGUAGCUGGUCUGAGAGGAUGAUCAGCCACACUGGAACUGAGACACGGUCCAGACUACUAAGGGAGGCAGCAGAGGGGAAUAUUGGACAAUGGGCGCAAGCCUGAUCCAGCCAUACCGCGUGGGUGAAGAAGGCCUUCGGGUUGUAAAGCCCUUUUGUUGGGAAAGAAAAGCAGCAGGUUAAUACCCCGCUGUUCUGACGGUACCCAAAGAAUAAGCACCGGCUAACUUCGUG
rnacentral:rRNA from 1 species